rnacentral:tRNA from 1 species
GGGAGCGUAGCUCAGCCUGGCAGAGCACCGCGCUGUGGACGCGGGGGUCGCGGGUUCAAGUCCCGUCGCUCCUCCCA